rnacentral:rRNA from 1 species
GACGAACGCUGGCGGCGUGCUUAACACAUGCAAGUCGAACGGAAAGGCCCUGCUUUUGUGGGGUGCUCGAGUGGCGAACGGGUGAGUAGCACGUGAGUAACCUGCCCUUGACUUUGGGAUAACUUCAGGAAACUGGGGCUAAUACCGGAUAGGAGCUCCUGCUGCAUGGUGGGGGUUGGAAAGUUUCGGCGGUUGGGGAUGGACUCGCGGCUUAUCAGCUUGUUGGUGGGGUAGUGGCUUACCAAGGCUUUGACGGGUAGCCGGCCUGAGAGGGUGACCGGCCACAUUGGGACUGAGAUACGGCCCAGACUCCUACGGGAGGCAGCAGUGGGGAAUAUUGCACAAUGGGCGGAAGCCUGAGGCAGCAACGCCGCGUGCGGGAUGACGGCCUUCGGGUUGUAAACCGCUUUCGCCUGUGACGAAGCGUGAGUGACGGUAAUGGGUAAAGAAGCACCGGCUAACUACGU